CGGAUUGGAGACUUCAAUUGAUUCUCCAAUGUAGAGUCCAAGUGACUAGAAUCUGAGGGGAUGUUCAAGUCAGAAGUCGAAUGCAGCCAGAUGAUGUCUCUUGGCUGCAGGUACUCGGGUCGUAGUUGAUGGGGUCGUAGACGUGCAUUUGAGAUAUUAUGACCGGAGCUCGCUGCGAUGGUCGUAAUUGCGGGACCAUGGGCAUCCUUAGUUUUAUAGGUUUUGUUAUGGCUUGUGACGCAUGUGUCACUUGUUAUUGUAUAAAGCCAUUUCUGUUAUGUAUUUAUAUUGAGGAAAGACUUAAACACAUAGAUGUUAAAUGGCUCUUGUUGUUAUUAAUUUAUGAUAGAUGUUUAAGAUGUGA